GCCUGAGAGGGCGACCGGCCACACUGGGACUGAGACACGGCCCAGACUCCUACGGGAGGCAGCAGUGGGGAAUAUUGCACAAUGGGCGAAAGCCUGAUGCAGCGACGCCGCGUGAGGGAUGACGGCCUUCGGGUUGUAAACCUCUUUCAGCAGGGAAGAAGCGAGAGUGACGGUACCUGCAGAAGAAGCGCCGGCUAACUACGUGCCAGCAGCCGCGGUAAUACGUAGGGCGCAAGCGUUGUCCGGAAUUAUUGGGCGUAAAGAGCUCGUAGGCGGCUUGUCGCGUCGGAUGUGAAAGCCCGGAGCUUAACUCCGGGUCUGCAUUCGAUACGGGCAGGCUAGAGUUCGGUAGGGGAGAUCGGAAUUCCUGGUGUAGCGGUGAAAUGCGCAGAUAUCAGGAGGAACACCGGUGGCGAAGGCGGAUCUCUGGGCCGAUACUGACGCUGAGGAGCGAAAGCGUGGGGAGCGAACAGGAUUAGAUACCCUGGUAGUCCACGCCGUAAACGUUGGGAACUA
rnacentral:rRNA from 1 species